UGAGCCGGGCCAGCAGUACCGGCAACACCCGAGCCACACCCGGCUUUGUUCGAUGAUUUGACGGGCACUGCCACCGCCUGGCGCCUGGAUACGUUGCCUAGGAUCACCAGAAACUAAUUGCUGAGAGACCAGGACGACAAUACGACGAGUUGAUUACGAAGAAAUGCAAAUGAUACCAUUUCUUCCAUGAAGACGUCAGGAAUUGGCUCGUAAGCAAACAAGGCAGCAGCCCCAAAGGAGGCCCCAGGCUUCUAGCGACUGCUACAGCGAGCGCUCAUCGUGGCCCCCCAGGAGUCCGAAGCCAGCUCAGAGUUACGAGAACGAGUCAUUUCCCGCUCGACUCAAUAUAUUUAUUUAUUGCACUGUCACAAAUGUAAUAAAUCAAGAAUAUUGUACAA
rnacentral:lncRNA from 1 species